UUUUGUUCGCAUGUAAGUAGCAAACCCGGAUCCAGUCCAUUUGUAAUACGAAUAUAAACCUGAACUUCUUAAUCGAAUCUCUCAAAUCUCAUUUUCCCUGAUACCAGCCAGAUUUGGUAAACGUCAAACCCGACCCGUUCUCAGCCCCGCGUAGGCUUGCCGCCUCGGGAUCCGACCUUCGUUGUGGUGGAAAAAUAAAAAAUCAACCGUCCGAUUAACGCCACGCGUCCUAGAUCAACGUCUCGGAUGGGAGGCCGGCCGACCGCGGACCCCCGGUGGAGUCUAGUAGCCGUCACGCCGGUCAACGAGCCGCUUUCGCUUUGACUGCUGACUCUCCCUCUAGAACAGGGUGUUGUAUUUUCCACGCUACGCUCCUUCCUGGAAGCCGCCGGCUUCUAAGCAACGGCUCGGCUGCUUCCCGUUUCUGGUAAUCCAUCAAUGGCCCCCUGCUUAUAAACUCCAACUCCUUCGUCGUUCCCCAUUUCAUUCACGUCCUCUGGUUCUCUUCGUUUUCGCUUCUCCGUUAUUUUGGUGCUUAUUUGAAGAUUUUUCUCUUAGAUUUUCGGCGGUUGAGGAGAAUGGAUCUGUUGAGAUUGAGGGCUCUCCUUCUUCCCCUCACCGUCUUGCUCUUGGCCAUCGUGGGGGUUGGCCGUGGCCAGUCUCUUGCCCCAGCACCUGCUCCUGCAACCAACGAUGGUCACGCGAUUGAUCAAGGGAUAGCCUACGUUCUUUUGUUUGUCGCGCUUCUCCUCACAUACCUUUUGCAUUGAUACAUCCAUGGAGUCAUUCAUGCAAUUUUUUAUUUAUCAUAUGUAAUUCUUAUUGUUUCCAGAUUAUAGAUGGAUUUGCCUCUAAAUUGUUUGUUGUGACUAUAUUCUUUUAGAGAAUUAAUUGAUUAUCAUGCAUCUAUUGCAGUUUCGUGUAAACCGGUGAGGGGUUGAAAAUCCUCCUCCUGAAAUCAAUGAAAAGUGUUGGUGCUCAA